rnacentral:lncRNA from 1 species
GUGAUGAGGUCGGCAAGUAAAAUCACCAGUACCUGAAUGCUGCACCUUUGCAUUUGUUAUUGUGGGUGAUCUUAUGGGAGCAAAAUUUGAGGUAGUUACAGGAAAAGCUCCUACAACUCCUGUCUGCAGAGUUGCCUGUGAUGCAGGCAUCAUAGGUGAUGAAAUUGGUGCAGAACCAAAUACCGGAGUUAUUGAUGAAUUAGGCAAUGGCGUACCAAGUGAAGAUUGGAUUGGGGUAGGAGCAGAGGAAGGUCCCACUUGAGGUCGUGGAACAGAAGUAAAAGUUGGGGCUGUGGUAGGACGGUUCAUAGAAGCUG